rnacentral:rRNA from 1 species
GCAUAUCAAUAAGCGGAGGAAAAGAAACCAACAGGGAUUGCCCUAGUAACGGCGAGUGAAGCGGCAAGAGCUCAAAUUUGAAAUCUGGCUCUUUUAGAGUCCGAGUUGUAAUUUGUAGAGGGCGCUUUGGUGUUGGCCACGGCCUAAGUUCCUUGGAACAGGACGUCACAGAGGGUGAGAACCCCGUACGUGGCUGCUGGCCUUCACCGUGUAAAGCCCCUUCGACGAGUCGAGUUGUUUGGGAAUGCAGCUCUAAAUGGGAGGUAAAUUUCUUCUAAAGCUAAAUACUGGCCAGAGACCGAUAGCGCACAAGUAGAGUGAUCGAAAGAUGAAAAGCACUUUGGAAAGAGAGUCAAAAAGCACGUGAAAUUGUUGAAAGGGAAGCGCUUGCAGCCAGACUUGCCUGUAGUUGCUCAUCCGAGCUCUUGCUCGGUGUACUCUUCUGCGGGCAGGCCAGCAUCAGUCCAGGCGGUCGGAUAAAGGCCUUGGAAAUGUAGCUCUCUUCGGGGAGUGUUAUAGUCCAGGGUGCCAUGCGACCAGCUUGGACUGAGGUCCGCGCAUCUGCUAGGAUGCUGGCGUAAUGGCUGUAAGCGGCCCGUCUUGAAACACGGACCAAGGAGUCUAACAUCUAUGCGAGUGUUUGGGUGUCAAGCCCGGGCGCGCAAUGAAAGUGAACGGAGGUGGGAACCCUUCGGGGCGCACCAUCGACCGAUCCUGAUGUCUUCGGAUGGAUUUGAGUAAGAGCAUAGCUGUUGGGACCCGAAAGAUGGUGAACUAUGCCUGAAUAGGGUGAAGCCAGAGGAAACUCUGGUGGAGGCUCGCAGCGGUUCUGACGUGCAAAUCGAUCGUCAAAUUUGGGCAUA